AUCAUUCAAAUACACGUGCAAGUCUACCGCUUCCUGUGAUUAUUGCCGUGGCUGUUCUGGUCCCUCUCUUCCUCAUCGCUGUCGUCUGCUUCUGCUCCCUGCGAAGGAAAGAAGGACAAGCAGUCAGAGUGAUCUAUGAAGUUCCCCACACCAACUCCAUCGACUCAGAAACGGACAUACACAGCACCAAUUCUUCCAAGGGCUCAAUUCAGUGGUGCGACGUGGCCACGUACGAUUCCUUGGAUUACUUUGAGCGAGUGGAGACCAAAAAGAGUGGAUAAGAUCUCCUGCCAUAUAUUCCUUCUUGUCAUUUUGUAAAUAAUAUGUUCCUUUAUCUAAAUUUACUCGUUUGAUGUGUGUAAGUAUUACAUAUUUUGUAUAGACCGUGUCUUCAUCAAUCAUCGUGACUUUUUCAUGUAUUCACUUUGCCGUUAAGCAUGCAGUUAUAUUUAAUAAAUUUGAAUAUUACUU